AACAGGUAAGACAAAAAAGCAAAUAAAUGCAUUAUCAUUCCUCUCUCUUCUCUGACAGUUGGAUUAGAAGUUUUCAAGUAGCAAGUAUCAUGAUGAUGUCAGCUCCAUGACAUCAUGGAGCAUUGUUAAGCACACAUGACUUCACAAAGGAAAAGCAGAGAGGAAAGGGGAUUAGCUGUGUAGAUGCUGUUGACGGUGGUGGCACUUUAGAGAAGACGCUUCAGGCAAGACUUCUUUCAGCAUUUGCUUCUUAACUGGAAAAGAAAAAAACCUUUCAGUCUUAAAUCAAUGUUAGUAUUGCUCACUGACAAAAGCACAAAGGCAAACAAAUCAAUCUGGCUUGCCUUUGUGCUUUUUCAAAAGGACCAAACUUUUAAUUCUAGCUCCUGUAAUAAUGGGCUUUGGUGUCAUCUGCAAACUUGAUGAACGUGCCUUUUAACUAAUUCAUCUAAGUCAUUAAUAAAGAUGUUGAACAGAAAUGGGCCCAGGACAGAACCCUGCGGCACUCCACUUAUCACUUCUUUCCAGGAUGAAAAGGAAGCAUUGCACCUGCUGGAAGCCAGGACUGGGGAAGUAGAACAACAUCAUCUCCACCAACCAGGAAGCGGUCUGCUGCCUGUCUGCUUUUCUGAACUUCAACAUUCCUAGUGGACUGCUGCCUAAUCCAGACUGCUUCCCACAGAUCAAGGCUCCAGGCACUCAGUCAAUUAUUGGCUAAUAAGCCAGAGGAAUACCUGCUCCAUUUGCAUGGGGAUAAAAACAGGGUGUCUGUUGAGGUGAGCUCACCAGCACUGGGAUCACUGCCAAAUGAAUGAUACCAAAGGUGUGCCACCUUUUUGUCAGAGCAGCCUGGGGGCAGCAAUUGUGGUAGUUAUGGGCAGAGAGAAUUAUGGCAUGGGGAAACACUCUUAUGAUCAUGGCAGAAGGGCGUUUUGGGAGUGUAAGAAAAAAAGAUACAGGAUUCCAUCUUCCUCACAAGGUGUCAUUGUCCCACAAUGUGGGCGAUAUCUAUAUAUAUAAAAGACUGAUGGCAUCACGGCGACUCACAAAACAACAAAAGUACAGGCAAAAUUUGACAACACAACCCAUCAUCCAUGCCUCAAGGUUGAUACAACAAAAAGAAAAGAAAAAUAAAGUCCUAAUUAGAGGGAGAGCAAUAAUUUUUUUUAUCCAGUUGCUGCCAGUUUAGAGGGCUAAUCUCUGCCCACUUGGUUGCCUAGCAACCAAGGGACAGCCAGGUUUCAGUUAGGGGACAGGCAGAUUUAGGCCUCACUUAGGCUUCUUCCACAGAUUAUCUAAUUUGCACUGGAUUAUAUGGCAGUGUAGACUCAAGGCCCUUCAACACAGCUAUAUAACCCAUUUAUAAUCUUAUAUUAUCUGCUUUGCACUGGAUUAUCUUGACUCCACACUACCAUAUAAUCCACUUCAGUAUGCAUUUUAUACAGCUGUGAAGAAGGAGCCUCAUAUAAUCCAGUUCUGAGCAGAUAAUAUAAGAUUAGAAAUAUACAGUAGAGUCUCACUUAUCCAACGUAAACAGGCCGGCAGGAAAAGUGAAUAUGUUGGAUAAUAAGAAGGGAUUCAGAAAAAGCCAAUUAAACAUCAAAUUAGGUAAUCGUUAUACAAAUUAAGCACCAAAACAUCAUAUUAUACAACAAAUUUGACAGAAAAAGUAGUUCCAUGCGCAGUAAUGCUAUGUAGUAUUUAUAGUAGAGUCUCACUUAUCCAACACUCGCUUAUCCAACAUUCUGGAUUAUCCAACGCAUUUUUGUAGUCAAUGCUUUCAAUAUAUUGUGAUAUUUUGGUGCUAAAUUCAUAAAUACAGUAAUUACUAUAUAGCAUUACUGUGUACUGAACUACUUUUUCUGACAAAUUUGUUGUCUAACAUGAUGUUUUGGUGCUUAAUUUGUAAAAUCAUAACUUAAUUUGAUGUUUAAUAGGGUUAUCCUUAAUUCCUCAUUAUCCAACAUAUUCGCUUAUCCAACGUUCUGCUGGCCCGUUUAUGUUGGAUAACUGAGACUCUACUGUACUGUAUUUACAAAUUUACCACUAAAAUAUCACAAUUAAUUUAAAACACUGACUACAAAAACAUUGAUUAUGAAAAGGCAGACUGCGUUGGAUAAUCCAGAACAUUGUAUAAGCGAAUGUUGGAUAAGUGAGAUUCUUCUUUAAUAUGAAAUAAUUACUGGGAUAGAAUAAUGCAGAACAAUAUAAUCUCUAAAGCCAGGACAGUAAAUAAACAGGGGAAUUCCACACAGGAAACAAUCAGGGCCAGCUAACACCUCCCAACAAAGUAUUCCCAUCAUCAAAGUCUGGCAAAUCCUGAUUUCUCAGGGCCACAGACAGUAGAAGCACAUAAAAUAUCGCAAACAACACCACUCUGAAAACAAGGGAAUUCCAGACAGGAAACAAUCAGGGCCAGCUAACACCUCCCAACAAAAAAAUCACUCAGGGAGGAAACAGCCAGGCUUUAAAGCUGCAAGGCCAUUACAUCCUAAUCAUUUUUCCUAAUUGCAGCAUUCAUACUUGCCUCCAACAAACAAACAAAAACCAAUCAGAAAUAUUGUAUUUUCACAACCUUUAGGAAAUAAUAUCCCCUGAUGGCGCAGCAUGUUAAAGCACUGAGCUGCUGAACUUCUGGACCAAAAGGUCACAGGUUUGAAUUGGGGGAGCGGAGAGAGCCCCCACUGUUAGCCCCAGCUUCUGCCAACCCAGAAGUUCGAAAACAUGCAAAUGUGAGUGCAUCAAUAGGUACUGCUCCGGCGGGAAGGUAACACCGCUCCAUGUAGUCAUCCCACAUGACCUUGGAGGAGUCUACGGACAACGCUGGCUCUUCGGCUUAGAAAUGGAGAUGAGCACCAACCCCCAGAGUCAGACAAAAACGUUUACCCUUGACCUUAACUACCACCAAUUCCUCAAUACUUUAUUUCCCAUACCACCAUACUUCGCCACAGCAACGCAUGGCCGGGCACAGCUAGUAGCUUAUAAAACAGAAAGCCCAGGAGAAACACAAUUGUGUGGAUACAUUGUUACAGCACUGGCUGAAUAGAUCUCAAGCUGAUACAAAACAGGAUGUAAUACAUUUAAUAGGUUUUGAGCAAUUUUGAAAUGAUUUGCCUUAUGGUUGUAGAGUAGAUGGCUUGCCCAGAAUAAGAAGCAAAACUGUACCUGGGGCAGCUACAUGUUCUUUCAUGUUUUUUCCACUACAAAUAAGAUACCAUAUAUAAAAUAUGCAUGGGAAUUUGUUCAUUUUUUUCCAAACUAUAGUCUAGGCCCCAACAGUUUGAGGGACUGUGAACUAUACUUAAAAUGUUUGAGGACCCCUGCAUAUAUCCAGUGUUACCCGACUGUCUUUGGGACACUGCCCACCUACUUUUCCCUUCUCCAGCUCUGAGAAGGCUCAUUCACAAUGUCUCCAUGGCAACAUUCCUGAAAUGGUGGGCAGGCUCUCUUUGUGGCUGUUUUUUUUUUUGCCUCUAUUUUGCUCAUACAUUUCCCUCUCUCUUUUCCUUCCUACCUCCCUCCCUCCCUCCCUCCCCAGCUUUUCUUCAUAUGGAUUUUUUCUUUCCUUUAUAUUCCUUUCUUUUUCCCUCUUUUUUCUCUCUUACUUCAUCCCUUUCGCUUCCUUUUUUCUUUUUCUUUCCUUCCCUCUCCAAAUAUCUCUUCCCCUGUCCUUUCUCUUCCUUUCUUCUGCUCUUCUCUCUUUCUUCUUUCCUCCCCUCCCCUCAUAUACAUGUCACCUUUGUUAGUGUUUUUGUUAUUAUGGAGUGAAAUGUGUAAUCUAUUGUUGCUAUGGAAUUGUAUGCAUUCCUUCCAGCAAGCAUUCCAGCAGUCCAGAGGUUAAUUGCAGCAGUCCUUGAUUGAUUGCUGGAAGGGCAAAUGGACAGAGACUUCCAUGUGUGCUACGUGACAGGAAGAUACAUCACAGACUGGAAUUCAAAGGAGGUGCUUCUGUGCACAGAGAGAAUGGACUUUUGUGAGAGACAGAUGUGCUCCAUGUUUGAUCAUGUGUCCAGAUAGCUUUGGAGUUUAGCAUUGUAAAUAUUGUAAAUAAAGCCUUCAGAGCUGCUGAGUUUCAGCAGACAUAAAUCAA